rnacentral:rRNA from 1 species
UAGGGAAUUUUGCGCAAUGGGGGAAACCCUGACGCAGCAACGCCGCGUGAUUGAUGAAGCCCUUCGGGGUGUAAAGAUCUGUCAGUGGGGACGAAACUUGACGGUACCCACAGAGGAAGCACCGGCUAACUCCGUGCC